UUGAUCUCAGAGGUCAAGCUUCAUUUUGGCUUUUUUGCUCUGCUCUACCCUGAUGUACUUGACUUUUUGAACUGUUCCUUCUGGUCCCAGCUGACUGCAUGAGCUCCAGCCAUCACAUCAAUAUUACCAGGAAAAAGGAGAAAAGAAGAGCAUGCUUCCUUUCUUGAAAGGCACUUCCUGAAUUUAGGAGAACUGCUCACUUACAGGAGUGGAGAGGGAGCAGAAGGCUUGAAAGAAGGUCAGCAGAGAAGCUACACAAGAGCCUUCCAUAUGCUAAUGGGAGAAGGAGUAGAGAGCAAGACACUGCUUCCCUGACCCAUGGAACUUACUUUCAUUCUCACAGACAAAGGUGAUCAUGCAAGUCAACUCUGACCAGUGAGAAAAGAGGAAGCAUAUUGGUGAGCGUAUGACUUCUCUGAUAAAAGGAACAGAUACAAGAAAGGAAUUGCUUCAUUAAGAGAAAUAAAAACAUAUCUUCAUGCAAAAAUCUGUACCUGAAUGUUCACAGUAGUCGUAUGCAUA